rnacentral:tRNA from 1 species
UGGGAGAUAGUGUAACGGUAGCACAACAGACUCUGGAUCUGUUUGUCUAGGUUCGAAUCCUAGUCUCCCAG